UAGGGAAUCUUCGGCAAUGGACGAAAGUCUGACCGAGCAACGCCGCGUGAGUGAAGAAGGUUUUCGGAUCGUAAAACUCUGUUGGUAGAGAAGAACGUUGGUGAGAGUGGAAAGCUCAUCAAGUGACGGUAACUACCCAGAAAGGGACGGCUAACUACGUGCCAGCAGCCGCGGUAAUACGUAGGUCCCGAGCGUUGUCCGGAUUUAUUGGGCGUAAAGCGAGCGCAGGUGGUUUAUUAAGUCUGGUGUAAAAGGCAGUGGCUCAACCAUUGUAUGCAUUGGAAACUGGUAGACUUGAGUGCAGGAGAGGAGAGUGGAAUUCCAUGUGUAGCGGUGAAAUGCGUAGAUAUAUGGAGGAACACCGGUGGCGAAAGCGGCUCUCUGGCCUGUAACUGACACUGAGGCUCGAAAGCGUGGGGAGCAAACAGGAUUAGAUAGCCCUGGUAGUCC
rnacentral:rRNA from 1 species